UGGGGAAUAUUGCACAAUGGGGGAAACCCUGAUGCAGCGACGCCGCGUGAACGAAGAAGGUAUUCGUAUCGUAAAGUUCUGUCCUAUGGGAAGAUAAUGACAGUACCAUAGAAGAAAGCUCCGGCUAAAUACGUGCCAGCAGCCGCGGUAAUACGUAUGGAGCGAGCGUUGUCCGGAAUUAUUGGGCGUAAAGGGUACGCAGGCGGUUUAAUAAGUCCAAUGUUAAAGAUCGGGGCUCAACCCCGUAAAGCAUUGGAAACUGAUAAACUUGAGUAGUGGAGAGGAAAGUGGAAUUCCUAGUGUAGUGGUGAAAUACGUAGAUAUUAGGAGGAAUACCAGUAGCGAAGGCGACUUUCUGGACACAAACUGACGCUGAGGUACGAAAGCGUGGGGAGCAAACAGG
rnacentral:rRNA from 1 species